rnacentral:lncRNA from 1 species
CAGCCAUCAGGGUUCCCAGCCAGCAGAUGGCCUUUUAUCGGGUUCGCAAGGCCAUCAGACGCUACAGCCAAGGAAGAGACCCCAGGGUAAUGGAAUCCUGGCUACGGCUGAAGCCCCCCUUCGGGACCCCAUGGACGGCUUCAUUAAAACCAAGCACACCCUGCAACAAGCAUUGGAAGGGCCUGGGAAAAGCCACACUGGGAAGUUCUGUCUUCCAGCCCCACCUCCUUGUUCUCAGAUUACAGGAAUGAAGAGCUGGUGGGACCUCAGCGUUCACCUGGCUCGUCUCCCGGGCAGAUCCGCACAGCGCUUCAGCGGCCUUGCUCAUCCCUCAGCCUGGGCUUCCUGGAAUGUGUCCUUUUAUCUUGUCCCCAUCAAGACCUGAGUUGCCACUAAAGCUACCAUCAGGGUGCCCACAGGAGCAGGAGCUUUAGGCUUUCAGGUGAGAGGGAUAAUCAUCUUUCUUUGGGGCUAAUGGUGAAGAUUAAAUGG